CCUACGGGCGGCAGCAGUGGGGAAUAUUGCACAAUGGGCGCAAGCCUGAUGCAGCCAUGCCGCGUGUGUGAAGAAGGCCUUCGGGUUGUAAAGCACUUUCAGCGGGGAGGAAGGCGGUGAGGUUAAUAACCUCAUCGAUUGACGUUACCCGCAGGAGAAGCACCGGCUAACUCCGUGCCAGCAGCCGCGGUAAUACGGAGGGUGCAAGCGUUAAUCGGAAUUACUGGGCGUAAAGCGCACGCAGGCGGUCUGUCAAGUCGGAUGUGAAAUCCCCGGGCUCAACCUGGGAACUGCAUUCGAAACUGGCAGGCUAGAGUCUUGUAGAGGGGGGUAGAAUUCCAGGUGUAGCGGUGAAAUGCGUAGAGAUCUGGAGGAAUACCGGUGGCGAAGGCGGCCCCCUGGACAAAGACUGACGCUCAGGUGCGAAAGCGUGGGGAGCAAACAGGAUUAGAUACCCGGGUAGUC
rnacentral:rRNA from 1 species